AUUGAUUAUGUUCUGUUAUUUUGUGCAGAUACUAUAAGAGAACGAAAGCUGUUUUCAAAGAGUUUCAUCGAACACCUCGUCAUUGAAUUGGAUGAACGAGGUGGAAGAUUCAAUUUGAGAUUUUAGGUCAUCUUUCACAAGGAGUUACUGAAGCUGUUAUUGCUAAUCGUAAUGAACCAGCAAAACAAUGUUGACAAUUCUGGAGUCUGUUUCGACUCCAAAGCAAGAACUGCACUGGCAUUUGAGACACUGAGAGCUGAUGGUUAACGCGAGUUUAUGUUUUUCCGCAAUCCAAGUGCAGAUAUGCUUCUCCGUGAAUCAGGACUCAAUAAAGACCUUCUGAAGAAGGCAUCCGUCCUUCACUAUGGAUCUAUGAGUUUGAUUGAGGAGCCAUGCAGGUCAACACAACUCGCUGCUAUGAAGAUACAGAAAAAUAAGUUGUUUCCUUCUCUUUUCUUUCAUGUAUCAUUGACAACAUAUAAUUAUAAAUACAAAUGGUGCAGAAUGUGAUUGGUUUGAUACCUUGGUUGCUUGAUUGAUUGAAUCAGGAUAGGGGGUAUUUGCAGGAUAAAAUAG